UUUUUUGUUAUGAUUUUUUGUUACAUUCUUUGACUUUUGGUGUUUAUAAGAAAAAUGAUGACGAGAAGCGGAAUAAAUCCACGACUCUUCAAACAUUUAAAAAGGUGCACAGGGUAGAAAGUGGAGGUCAGGCCUCUCUACGCCAGAACCCCGUUAAGAAGGAACGACGAGAGAGCACCCUAAAAUUCACUAAUGAUCCUUCCGCAGGUUCACCUACGGAAA
rnacentral:misc_RNA from 1 species